UAAUAAGUGUUUUAUGGCACUUUUUAAAUCCAUAUCCACCUUGUGUACAAUGUCGGUCGAUCUUCUUCUUUGAGGAUUGACCAAACAUCAACCUUUAUCUUUUAACUCUUUGUCUGAAAAAUAUUAUGAAUAAACAAUUCAAAAUA
rnacentral:misc_RNA from 1 species